rnacentral:lncRNA from 1 species
UAGCUUAGCUUCCCACACUGAUCAGCAACAGAGAAGUCACAUCAUCUGUGCUGUGAAUCAAGGUUCUCCAGGUACACAGGUACAGUCCAAGUGGGUCUCCAAUUCGAGAAAAAGGGUUGAAGAAGACAAAAGAGCUUAGACUAUUUCAAGCCCCUUACAUAGGACAGGGCUUAGAAGUAGCUGAGAAUUAGCAUUCUUACAAGGCUACAAAGCGAGGGAUACAUUUAUCAGUUAUCUAAAUAAUCAUCUAAUACAUGGACAUCCCUUUAUUAUUUACUGAGCCUGCUAUUACAUGGGCCUGCUAUUGUACUAGGUAAGGAAGUGCAUAAUUGAAUGAAACAGAGUCCAUGGCAUAUUUGCAGGUUAAGAGAGAAGGAGAAGUUGUAGAAUUGGGGUUAGAGAGGUGGCUUAGAGCUCAAAAUGAGUUCUCUACUUCUCAUCACCAUAAGUAGUUCCCCUAACUCAAGGGAGAACCAACACUCUCUUGUAGACUGUGCAGCCACCUGCACUCAAUUGGAGAACACACACACACACACACACACACACACACACACCCUUUGCACACACACCCUUUGCAAACACAUAUACACAUAAUCAGAAUCCAAAGGCUUUCACAAGUAAAGGUGAAAUAUGUAAUAACAAUGUGCAAGUAGCAUCAGGUAGGGUAGGGGAAAACCUAGUGUGAGUGAGCUCUAAGGAAGGAUAGACGGCUGGCAGGAGUGGCACUUGAACUGAGAACUGAGUGACAGGGAAGUUCCAUGAAUGAACAGGCUGAGGAGGAAACAAGGCAGGUGCAUUUUCAAACAUGAGAGAGACAAUGUGUCUCCUGAAGAGCAGCAGGGUACACAUAAUGCACAAAUCUAUACUUGUAGUAAGGUUUGGAAGUAACAAACCAACUGGUUCCUCAUAGUAACAGUGACACUUUUAUCACUGCAAGUCACACUCUAAACACUCCUAAUGACAGCCAGAGUCAAUUCUUACAGGAGACCCUCCUUGCCGAUGUGAGGAUAGAACUACUCCAAGGGUCUUCUGUUGGUAAACAGGAGAAACUGUACAUGAACAUGGAUAGAGUGUCCCAGAUUUACUCUCAUAAUAACUUCGCUAUAAUGCCACUUUAUGCGUUAAACAGGAUCAGAGAAACGUAUGUGAGUAACUGGGGUUACUUCCCCUUGCACUGCUUAAGACUUUAUAAUCAGCCAUAGGUGUACUAUAUCUGGCAUCGUGCUCCUUGGGCUGCAGAGAGAUUAAUUUACUAAUUACUGCGCUCAUGCCUAUCAAUAAGAACUUUCUAAGGAAAUAUAAUUCUAAGAAAAUAUAAUAGAUCAUUGGUUUCAGCUAUUGAAUCCUGUGGAUUCAAUCAGUCCCCAUUGGGGAAGUCUGGGGACUAAUUGUUAGUGAUAUGGUUUCCAGGCAAGGUUUUGCCUAUAUUCCAGUGAGUGCUGGUUGCCAGGCAGGGUUCAGCUGCCUGCUCCUCAAGCUACAGUGAAAUACACACUAUGGACACCACCAAGGAGAAAGCACAGGACCCGUGCUUUAAGAGAACGCAGGCUCUGGCCAUGCUUCUGUGAUUAACUUUAUAUAAUUUUAGAGACUUCCCGUCUUUGCUUGCUUCAACUUUCUUCCCAACAGAAUGAAGAUGAGAGCACCUGUCCUAAAGGACUUGGCAGAGUAAUUUCAGCCUACUUUAUCACUACUGUGACCAGCCAGGAGCUGAAAGAUGUCAUUUCACUAAUCUUCUAGGUGCAUAUGAAUGGUUUUGAGAGCUUAAGAGUUUCUGGUGACUGUAGGAAGAGCAGAGGCUAGCUGUAGAAUUGAGAACACAAGAGGCUGUAAGCCAGGAGAUCAAGAAUAGAGUCUCACGCAGGAUGAAAGCUUUAAACUAAGCCCAAAUCAAGGUCAGAGCAGCACAGUAAAGGGCUAGAACACAGAGGGAUGUUCACACAACCCAGUCAAUUUGCUAGGUCAAGGAAUGGGUAAAGUGGGUCGCUAGGCUACCUUCAAAGCUUUCAGUAUCUGGGAAGCACACAAAGUCGCUCAUUUAUUCAUGUGUUUUCUAUUUUAUAAUUUUCUUCCAUUUAGUCAACAAAGAAUCAUGUGUCUUAAGACUGUGUCAGUGCUAUUCUAGCAACUUGGAAUAGAACAAUAGCCAGGGUCUCUUCUCUAGACAUCUUGCAGUCCCAGGGGGCACAGACAAGGAGGAUAAACAGACUGGAAUUAAACAAUGAUACAUUGUGUUGUGACAAGUAUCAUAAAAAUGGAAUCUGGAGGUUGCUUCAUAAGUAACCUGCAUUCAUUUUAGGUGAAGUAGUCAA